AUGUCGAUGAGUUACGAUGGGUCUCAAAGUGAGGAUCGGCAAAGUGAGGAGGUUCAGUCAGCAUACAAAAAGUUCAGUGCAGGGGAUGAGGACGCGAUAAGGGGUUUUGUAAAUUUGGAUGAAACUGAAGAGCAAAAUGAAGAAAAUGAGUGGAGUUGGGUGCCCCAAGAGGAGGAUCCUCUUGCUGAAUCAGCUUCUUCGCUUGAGAAAGCACAAGAAGUUCUUGAAAAAUUCUUCAAGAAAAAUGAAGAUCUUGAAAGUGAGAUGCUGAAAUUGUCAGAACUUGGCAAGGGGUUUGUGGCUGAGGAUUCACAUGAUGGCAACAUAGGUUUGCCUUAUAUAGAGGCUGAUGUACUGGGGAUGAAUCAAAAGAUGGAAUGUCUUGAACUGAAACUGAAAGAAGCGUCAGAUACUAUCACAGAGAAGGAUUCAAGAUUAUCCGAGCUCCAGUUACUUAUCAACAGUGCACAUACACCAACGCUGCAGACGGAGCCCGUCAACAUUGAUGAGUUGGAGGCCGAGCUUGAGAGCCACCUUCAGGACAAAAUCGAAGCCGAGAUUCAGUGUCUGGUCAUGGUGAAAGCGAGACAAAACUGGCAAGCCCGGGCCGAGGACCAGAUCGCGUUGGACGAGCACAGGCUCUCCACCGGGGACGACAUGAGAAUGUUGCUCAAGCUGCAAGACACGGAGAAGAAGAUCGUGAUGCUGAAGGAACAGGUGGACAGACUAGAGGCCCACGAGAAGGAGCUGUCGGUGACGACGGAGGUCCUGAGGAUGCAAAGCAAGACCUUCAAGAUCGGCCUCUUCGGUCUCCUCCAGCUGAUCAUGCUGUGCCUUUCCCUCAAGAUGUUCUUCGCCCAGGACUCUGCCCGCUUCGACGAUCUCGUACCGACAUGA
rnacentral:rRNA from 1 species